UUCGUGGCAGACAUUGUAGAAGAUGGCAGUAUGGGCUUCAGCAAAUAAAUAGAUUUCCUUAAAUGUUGCUUAGUUUGUAAAUUCUAUUAACAAGUCUUGGUGCUUGCUAGAUUCAUAGGAAUACUGAUGUAAUUAGAGUAUAUUACUGGCUGUCCAACCAGUUAUGAAUAGGAAAUUGUAUAUUUUGCGAUUAUAAAUACAAUACUCAAAGUUUAAUGUAAAAAAAAA
rnacentral:lncRNA from 1 species